rnacentral:lncRNA from 1 species
GGCAGAGAAGGACGACAAUAUUGGCAUGGCCCUUAAACGGCCACAGACAUUGAUGAGUGCACCUCAGGGACCCACAAUUGUAGAUUGGACCAAGUGUGCAUCAAUUUACGUGGUUCCUUCACAUGCCACUGUCUUCCUGGGUAUCAGAAGCGAGGCGAACAGUGUGUGGAUAUAGAUGAGUGCUCAGUGCCCCCAUACUGCCACCAAGGAUGUGUGAACACCCCGGGUUCCUUUUACUGUCAGUGCAAUCCCGGGUUUCAGCUGGCAGCAAACAACUACACUUGUGUGGAUAUAAAUGAAUGUGAUGCCAGCAACCAGUGCGCUCAGCAAUGCUACAACAUUCUUGGCUCAUUCAUCUGUCAGUGCAACCAAGGAUAUGAACUGAGCAGUGACAGACUCAACUGUGAAGACAUCGAUGAAUGCAGAACCUCAAGCUACCUGUGCCAGUAUCAAUGUGUCAAUGAACCUGGGAAGUUCUCAUGUAUGUGUCCUCAGGGUUACCAAGUGGUGCGAAGCAGAACCUGUCAGGAUAUAAAUGAAUGUGAGACCACCAAUGAAUGCCGAGAAGAUGAAAUGUGCUGGAAUUACCAUGGUGGCUUCCGCUGUUACCCACAAAACCCAUGUCAAGAUCCCUAUGUUCUAACG